ACCACCGUCAGCUGAUCCAAAAUCCACUGUGGGGUCUGCCAGCUCAACUACCAAGCGGAUCUUUCCGCCUUUAUCCACCUGGAGACCCCUGAGGUCGGUGAUGCCGUACAUGAAGGCGAUUUUCUCAUACUGGUCUGGCCUGGCGUUCUUCAGGAUCUCCCACACGUCCACCUCUGGGGUGUCGUCUUGCUGUUUGUGCUCCCUAGUUUUGCCAUGUACAAGACUUCCACUUUUGCGUUUGUGGAUAUGGGGAAGUGGGCCUGACGCUGGCAUAUCCAAUUGGUAAUUCGUACAACAUAAGAAGAAACCGAAACAUGAAGGAGCAGCUUUGAGAAGGACUACACUGACACCCUCUGGCUUAUAAGAUUAUAAGCCUCAACAUGAAAUCACCUUUGCUGUUCCUCUGCGGUGGGAUGACGGAGUAGAAAUGCGGCGAAUCGUUCUGCACC